AGUGAACGCUGGCGGUAGGCCUAACACAUGCAAGUCGAACGGCAGCACAGUAAGAGCUUGCUCUUACGGGUGGCGAGUGGCGGACGGGUGAGGAAUACAUCGGAAUCUACUUUUUCGUGGGGGAGAACGUAGGGAAACUUACGCUAAUACCGCAUACGACCUACGGGUGAAAGCAGGGGACCUUCGGACCUUGCGCGAUUGAAUGAGCCGAUGUCGGAUUAGCUAGUUGGCGGGGUAAAGGCCCAUCAAGGCGACGAUCCGUAGCUGGUCUGAGAGGAUGAUCAGCCACACUGGAACUGAGACACGGUCCAGACUCCUACGGGAGGCAGCAGUGGGGAAUAUUGGACAAUGGGCGCAAGCCUGAUCCAGCCAUACCGCGUGGGUGAAGAAGGCCUUCGGGUUGUAAAGCCCUUUUGUUGGGAAAGAAAAGCAGCAGGUUAAUACCCCGCUGUUCUGACGGUACCCAAAGAAUAAGCACCGGCUAACUUCGUG
rnacentral:rRNA from 1 species